GACAGAGGGUGCAACCGUUGUUCGGAAUUACUGGGCGUAAAGCGCGUGUAGGCGGCUCUGUAAGUCGGGUGUGAAAUCCCACGGCUCAACCGUGGAAGUGCACUCGGAACUACAGGGCUAGAGUCCUGGAGAGGAAGGUGGAAUGCUUGGUGUAGAGGUGAAAUUCGUAGAUAUCAAGCGGAACACCGGUGGCGAAGGCGGCCUUCUGGACAGUGACUGACGCUGAGACGCGAAAGCGUGGGGAGCAAACAGG
rnacentral:rRNA from 1 species